UCGCCUGUUUAUCAAAAACAUGUCUUGAAUGCUUAUUUAUUUUAGGUCUAACCUGCUCAAUGAUUAUUUUAUUAAAUAGCCGCAGUAUUUUGACUGUGCGAAGGUAGCAUAAUCAUUUGUCUUUUAAUUGAAGGCUUGUAUGAAUGGUUUGACAAACUAUAAACUUUCUUUUUAUUAAAAUUAUUGAAUUUAAUUUUUUAGUUAAAAAGCUAAAAUUUAUUUAUAGACGAGAAGACCCUAUAGA
rnacentral:rRNA from 1 species